rnacentral:tRNA from 1 species
GCCAAAGUAGCUCACUUUGGAGAGUAUUAGACUGAUGAUCUAAAGGUCUGUCAUUCAAUCCUGGACUUUGGUA